AUGGAGCUCCACUUCCAGGUGCAGCCGCCAGUGCUCCAGCUGCAGGACUACUGCUACUACUACCAGCAGCAGCAGGAGGCCGCCGCCGCCGCCGCGCAGGCCAAGCCCACCAAGCCGCGGGGCCGGAAGAAGGGCAGCACCAGCCACAGCAAGUUCGUCGGCGUCCGCCAGCGCCCGUCGGGCCGCUGGGUGGCCGAGAUCAAGGACACCACGCAGAAGAUCCGCAUGUGGCUCGGCACCUUCGAGACCGCCGACGCCGCCGCGCGCGCCUACGACGAGGCCGCCCGCCUCCUCCGCGGCGCCGAGGCGCGCACCAACUUCGCGCCCCGCAUCUCCCCGGACUGCCCGCUCGCCGUCCGCAUCCGGGGCCUCCUCCACCACAAGAAGCUCAAGAAGGCCAGGCUGCCCGCCGCCUCCGCCAAGAUCCCCGGCUCCUCCUCCACGCCGCCCGCUCCCGCCGCAUACGCCACAAGCAAUAGCAAUAGCAAUAGCAACAGCAACAGUAAUAGCAUGGAUGGCGCUUGUGGGGGCGCCAGCAGCAGCAGUAGCAGCAGCGCGCUCAGCUGCGACGGCGCCAUGAAGCAAGGCGGCGGGGCACUGGACGCCGGGGAGGUGUACAGGCCGGAUUUCGCUCCCGUCGCCGGUACCGAGGAGCUGGAGUCUUGGAUGUUCGAGUCGUCGUUCGGCCAGUUCCCGGCGCUGGACGGUUUCGCCGCCGUCGACGCCUGCACGCUGCCAGCCGCGUCCACGGAGGAGACCAGCGUCGCCCCCGCGGCCGGGAUGGUGGAGUUCGAGCGGAUGAAGGUGGAGCGGCGGAUCUCGGCGUCCCUGUACGCCAUGAACGGCCUGCAGGAGUACUUCGACAGGGUGUUCGAGGCGUCCGCCGGCGACCCGCUGUGGGAUCUCUCGCCGCUCUGCCAGUAG
rnacentral:rRNA from 1 species